rnacentral:misc_RNA from 1 species
GAUGAAGAACGCAGCGAAAUGCGAUAAGUAAUGUGAAUUGCAGAAUUCAGUGAAUCAUCGAAUCUUUGAACUCACAUUGCGCCCGCCAGCACUCUGGCGGGCAUGCCUGUUCGAGCGUCAUUUCAACCAUCAAGCCCCCAGGGGCUUGUGCUGGGGCCCUGCGGCUGCCCGCAGGCCCUGAAAACCAGUGGCGGGCUCGCUAGUCACACCGAGCGCAGUAGCACAUCUCGCUCAGGGCGUGCGGCGGGCUCCUGCCGUGAAACCCCCCACUGUAACCCCAAAGGUUGACCUCGGAUCUGGUAGGAAUACCCGCUGAACUUAAGCAUAUCAAUAAGCGGAGGA